rnacentral:rRNA from 1 species
GCUCGAACGCUCGGCGGCAGGCCUAACACAUGCAAGUCGAACGGAAAGCUUACAGAGUGGGUGACGGGUGAGUAACAUGCGGGAAUCCGCCUUGUGGUUCCGGUCAACAUUGGGAUACCGGUGCUAAAACUAGAUAAAUCCUCACGGGGAAAGUUUUAAUGCCAUAAGAUGAGCCCGGAUUCGAUUAGUUAGUUGGGGAGGGAAAGACUCUCCAAGACAAUGAUUAAUAGCUGAUCUGAGAGGAUGAACC